rnacentral:rRNA from 1 species
AGCGAACGCUGGCGGCAGGCCUAACACAUGCAAGUCGAACGAACCUUUCGGGGUUAGUGGCGGACGGGUGAGUAACACGUGGGAACGUGACAUUAGGAUCGGAAUAACUCAGGGAAACGUGUGCUAAUACCGAAUGUGCCCUACGGGGGAAAGAUUAAUCGCCGUUAGAGCGGCACGCGUCAGAUUAGCUAGUUAGUUGAGUUAAUGGCGCACCAAGGCGACGUUCAGUAGCUGGUCGGAGAGGGUGGUCAGCCACAUUGGGACUGAGACACGGCCCAAACUCCUACGGGAUGCAGCAGAGGGUAAUGUAGCGCAGUGGGCGGAAGGAUGACGCUGCCAUGCCGCGAGAAUGAUGAAAGUAUUAAGAUAGAAAUAUUCUUUCACCUGGGAAGAUAAUGACGGUACCCAGAGAAAAAGCCCCGGCUAACUUCGUG